GGCUGAGUGGUCCAGUGGUAAGGCGCUCGUCGCGGAACCAGAGGGUCCUGGGUUCUAUCCCCGAUGGGGUCG
rnacentral:tRNA from 1 species